GCUCAAGCAGAAAUUACAGAGGAGCUUAUUUGUUGGAGAUUUGAAGAGUAAAACUUAGCAGCGCAGUACCGCUGGAAGUGGUAAUUGCUAAUCAGGGAUAAAGUGAGCGAAUCACAAGUCGACCAAGUCUUGAAUGAUGAAUUGAGCCAGAUCAUUGAGGUCUCUUUGUCAAGUUAAAUUUUCAUUCUACUUUUUAUUUGUAAUGCUCGGUUCUUCACUCAAACAUUGUUUAUGAAGUGAAUGAAUUUGCAUAUGUUUGAAUAAAUUUCCAAUCCCGCAGCAACGCGCGGGCACCAUUGCUAGU